CUGGGAUUGUCAGUGUUCUUCCCUGUGUCCAAUUUGGAGGCUGUUCAGAGAAGGGCUUGUCGUCGGGCCUAGCAGUCUUCUCCCCAGACUCCAGCUUUUCUGCACUGCCCAUUCCCUGCACAUUUUUACACUCACCUUAAGUUGUAUUCCAAUAUCCUUAGGUGUGAUUUUAUAUGUUCUUAUAUCACAGUGUGUAUGUGUGUUUCUGCUUAUGAAAGAAAGAUGCAGAUAUAGAGACUGAGGAAGGGAGAGAAGGAAUGAGAGAGAAAGAGCAUGAGAGAGAAUAAGAGAAUGAGAGAAAGAAUGCGAGAGAGAAGAGAGUGAAUGAGGGAGAAAAUGAAUGAGACCACAAAACCAUGAGGAUGUUUACCUGCCUGCUGGCUAAGGCACCUGUAUGUUCUAGGGCAGAAUGACUUUUCAUGUAUUUUGAGUGGGGGCAGGAGGCAGCGAACAGCAGCUUGAAUAAUAGCUUCUCUAUAAACAUUGUCAGUAAACUGCAGGGGAAACACUGCCCCUCUUCAAAAACAACUGUAGUGAAAACUGAGCAGGCAGGACUGCAGCUGGGAGAGGAGUGGAUUGAUGGGUGGGCUGUUGCGUUAUCGUCACCAAAUGACCGCAGCUGUUCACAGAUGAGCCAGAAGCCUGGAGUCCCAGAGUGCCAGGUGUCAUUCCGGAGACAGCCCCUGCGUGUGCUGGGUGACGUGUCACCACCAAACCAGGCCUCAGGAACACAAGAAAGCAAGGAGAAACCAGACUCUCGGAGACAAGGAUAAAGUAAGAGCUCUACUGGUUGUCACACCUGGGCCACAGAUUUCGUUGGAAGCUGUGCGAUAAAAGAGAUCAGAACACCACAGCUUCCCAGAGGGUUUGACCAAUUACGCCAGCGGCGGCUGAGUUCCAGAUGGUAGCACUGUCCUCACAUCCCAAACUGAGUAGGUUCCUACUUGGGCAGAGGGCAGGAGCUGAAUGGAUAAUAUCCAGGAAUUGUGAGCACAGGAUUUUGUAGGUCUCUGUCUCAGUGUCCUGCAAUUUUCAUCCCAUAACAAUAAAAAAAGAAGCAGAGCCCA
rnacentral:lncRNA from 13 species